GACGAACGCUGGCGGCGUGCUUAACACAUGCAAGUCGAACGGGCCCGCCCCUGUUUUUGGGGGUGGGUUGAGUGGCGAACGGGUGAGUAUCACGUGAGUAACCUGCCCCCUGCUCCUGGAUAACUGCUUGAAAGGGCGGCUAAUACGGGGUGUGCCGGCUGGUCCGCAUGGGCCUGGUCGGGAUAGUUUCAUCUUCGGGUGUUUCGGUGGGGGAUGGGCUCGCGGCCUAUCAGCUUGUUGGUGGGGUGAUGGCCCACCAAGGCGGUGACGGGUAGCCGGCCUGAGAGGGUGGGCGGCCACACUGGGACUGAGACACGGCCCAGACUCCUGCGGGAGGCAGCAGUGGGGGGUAUUGCACAAUGGGCGGAAGCCUGAGGCAGCGACGUCGCGUGAGGGAUGGAGGCCGUCGGGUGGUGAACCUCUUUCUCCGGUGGUGAAGGCCCUGUCCGUUGCGGCGGGGUUGACGGUAGCCGGGUAUGAAGCGCCGGCUAACUACGUG
rnacentral:rRNA from 1 species